rnacentral:lncRNA from 1 species
AUUUGCGAACGGUCAACCUUUGAUAGCGAUGAGGGGGACAUGCGGGACAUGCGGCACGCACCAGCUGGCCCAGGAGCACCCGCCGCCAUAACUGCGUCGGGAUCCGUCGGCUAUUUAAACCCCCUAACCUCCUUUCGUGGCCUCAUCCUGUUGAUAGGACCUUUCUUUUGCCUGAGAUCUUAGCUACCCAGCCAUUCUCCUAGCACUGGUCCUUGGCUUCUUCAGUCCCCCGAC